UGCAAAAACACAGUAAAAAGACGGAAGUUUGCCCAUUUCUGCUCAGGAAGUCUCUUUGCUCCUAAGCUUCAUAUGUUGUCCAAUUUGGCUUCAAAAUUUCUGCUAUUAUUACUGUUUCUCCUCCUUUUGAUCUUCCUUUUGUUCCCCAGUGCCAGAAUUUCCAGAGCCUUCUUGCUCAGAUGCCAUCUUUUUGUAUGCCAUUUCGAAGAGUUUCAGUGAUGCCUGCUGAAGAGAGGAUGCUGCUUGUCCAAUGUUUUCUCCCGUUUCGCUAUCUUUUCUAGCCAGAAGCCCCUUCAUUUUGGAAAUCUCUUCUUUUAGCUUUUGCACUUAACAGCAGUGUGGUGAGGAGAAAGGAAGUGCCAGAUUUAUCCCAUGAUCUGAAAUUCGACCACAUAUGAGCAACUGUAUAUGAGAAAGAGCUACUAAGUAAGACAUUCUGUUUCCUGGUGAGGAAGGAGAGAGUAAUGACCAAACCAUGCUCCUGGUGUUAUAUACCCAGUCAUUCAACAAGACCUCCCAACUAGAGCAAAAUGGAAAAAGGUUGUCUGUUCACUCCGACUAUGCAGCCAUAAAAAGAAAGGAGAUCAUGUCCUUUGCCAGGACAUGGAAGAGCUGGAAGCCAUUAUCCUCAACAAAUUAACACAGGAACGGAAAACCAAACACCACAUGUUCUCACUUAUAAGUGGGAGUUCAACAAUGAGAACACAUGGUCACAGGGAGGGGAACAACACACAUUGGAGCCUGUCAGAGGAGGUGGGGAGGGAGAGCAUUAGGAUAAAUAGCUAAUGAAUGUGGGCUUAAUACCUAAGUGAUGGACUGAUAGGUGCAGCAAACCAUCAUGGCACACGUUUACCUAUGUAACAAACCUGUA